UCCUUAACUCCGCCGGUAGCUUCUCCGAGGGUUACUACCGGUCCCAAGCCCGGGUAAAGGAGGAGGGUUAGGC
rnacentral:ribozyme from 2 species